GCCAAUCAGAUCACAGCGGCACAAAACUUUGUAAACAACAGUUCUGCACGCUGCUCAGAAAAGACGCGUUUUAACGGGAUUGUAUAACUGCACUAGGACGCCCGGGUGGGACGGUCCUGCGCUUUCAAGGAAAGGGAGAGCGAAUGUGGAUCGGACAUCCUGAACCCAAGGAUAGGACAGGAUAGGACACGCUGGACCCAAUGCAGAAAGUAAAGAUUAUAUGGAGCACACCUGUCGCGUUCUGUGGACCCGGUACAGCACACCGCAAUCCGGCGGACCUUAUCACCCUGGUGAAUUCAGCCCGGAGGGGCGGCGGUUUUGAUGAUCACAUGCCACGGGAGCAUGACCGCUGUGGCGAAGGUCGGUCAGCGACGGGGACCGUCAGCGCCGUCCCCGGCCAACACUUUGAUCCGUGUGCUUAAUUAAUUUUUUAUAUUCUAGCAAGUCUGAUAAGUGUAAGUCCGGCGUCCACUCUGGGCAGGGGCACCCCACCCCCCCAUUAAACUGCGACGUUAAACUGCCAAUAUGUUUUCAUCCCUUUGCCUUUUAUAUCGUUAUCUUCCGCUGCGUUAAACAGAUUAGGUGGAUGCCAAGGGCUCAGCGGAAAAAUCCGCACCUUUCGGUCCGUCCAAAACAGGCUGCCUCUCAAGGGCAUUUCCCCAGCGCCCUCCUGUGCUGCUUCUCUCCCUCCGCUCGGGAGCACCACGGUUUUGCACAUAACAUUCUCAUGGGAUCUCCUCUUUGCCUGUUUUUUUUUCCACCUGCUGGGGGGUCUGAUGUGGCCCACCCACAGUCUGGCCCGUCCAGACGGUAUGUGACCGUCUCUCUGCGGGGUGCCACCUGCCCGCACCCAGCCCGGCCUCUUUAAUUGGCUGUCUUUUCUACCGCCGUUCCCCCCGAUCUCCACGGCAUAUGCAAAUAGGGGUCGUGGAAUGUUCCUGUUAUCGUCCUGCGAGGGCCACUGUGCCCUUGCUGCCGUGGGGCAGCCAUUGAUAAGGCCAAAAGUCCAGAUAGCUGCAGACGCCACGGACACUUUUUAAUGUCCCCUUACAAAGCAGCCGGCGUCCUUUCAUGUUGUUUUUCCCAGCCAAGGACAGACAGGCGCUCCCCACCGGCGUGGGGGAGACUUGACUAAUCAGUAACCAAGGAGUUACGGAGGCCAGCAACCUGUCAGAUGGGAUUCUAUUCAGAGUGGUGAUGCAUCAUGGGAGAAAUCUGUGACCAAGGAAUUGGUGCUAUGCUCUCUUCUCAUCUGAUGCAUCCAUCAUUCCCUUCUUCUCCUAGGUCUUCUCUCCUCUUUCCAGAGAUGGACCAGUGCCCCUCCCCCCUCACCCAAGCUUGGCAGGGAAAACAAUGAGACAAAACAAAACUAAAAUAUGCACCGCAGCCCAGAGUGACUUAACCAGAAGAGCUUUUUGGCAUUUUGCGCUGGCCAGUUUUAAUAGCAUCCAAAUAAGAUCUGAGAAUAGUUUUCAUCAGUAACUGCACGUGCCGGAAUUCCUCAGAAUACUUAUUUGAAAGACACACCCUAUCUAUGCUGAUCAGGAAAAUAUCAUGAAUAACUGAAGCAAUGGGGAAGCGUUUCCGACAUGAAACUGCGCUCCUGUCAGUGUUGGGGUGCUGUCACGCAUUGGGGCCCUUUACACGUUCAGUGACUUCAUGCAUAACUCGUCCCCAUGUCUCAGGGCCUCAGUGGGAGGGUCCUGUACCACUAUCUCCAGAUAUCCGGAGACAAGUUUUUCUGAGCGAUGUCCAGUGAUUUUGCA